rnacentral:lncRNA from 1 species
AUGGGGCAUGGGUCAUAUAUGAGGCCUAUACGAGGCCUAUACGAGGCAUAUACGAGGCAAAAGGUGUCUAAAUAGGCAGAUAGGAUGUGUGGAUAGUUUGAGCCUUAUAUAAACUAAAAAGAAAAUCUAACAAAGUGAAAGCAAACAUUACCUUUGUUUUGAACCCGGAGUUGUUCAAAAGAUCCUUAAAUUUUUGAAGAAAUGACCCGUUGACUUUGGCAAGUUGACCCUCUGCUAUCCGUUGGAGAGACGGAAACAUAUUACAAUCAACAUUAGUUUCUCCAAAAUGAUCAUCUUGGUAGAAACCAUUGACCUCCAUUGAUCCUUUAAAUGCAAUGAUUAAAACAUCUUUUGUUGUUGACGAUGAUGAAGCUCCACCAUGUUUCUUGGUGUUGGUAACAUAAUCUUGACUGUGGUUAUGAGCAUUCAUGGAAAGAAUGCAAGCUGCUUUGAUAUGCUCAUUAGUCAGGGUUAGUUUCAUUGAAUCUCUCUCGACCUCCAUUGCUCUCUUUCUAAAAAUAAAACACAGUUUUGUA